UGAUAUAAGCUUAGUAAUAUGGGGAUAC
rnacentral:sRNA from 1 species